rnacentral:tRNA from 1 species
GCCUUCGUAAUAUAGAGGUCAGCACGCUCGACGCGUAUUCGAGAGGUUCGCGGUUCGAGUCCCGGCGAGGGCA